rnacentral:rRNA from 1 species
UACGUAGGGUGCGAGCGUUAAUCGGAAUUACUGGGCGUAAAGCGUGCGCAGGCGGUUCUCCAAGUCCGUUGUGAAAGCCCCGGGCUCAACCCGGGAACGGCAUUUGAAACUGGCGGGCUGGAGUGUGGCAGAGGGGGGUGGAAUUCCACGUGUAGCAGUGAAAUGCGUAGAGAUGUGGAGGAACACCGAUGGCGAAGGCAGCCCCCUGGGCCAACACUGACGCUCAGGCACGAAAGCGUGGGGAGCAAACAGG